CGUGUUUUCGUAUCGGCAGUCAACUUAAAGCCUGUCACUUGGCUAAAGACAAAAGACAGCCUUUGGCGACAGAAUCUGUUUGAGAUUUGUUUUUAAUUGAUUCGAAUCGAAUCGAUUCGAUUCGAGUUGAAUUGAAUUGACUUUCUGUCAGUCUGUGUGUCGGCUGCUGGCAGUGUGUUCGUCGCCAUUUGCUGACAGGCGCUAUUACAAUUAUUAACAUAAAUUAUUGCGUUCAGAUCGAUCCAAUCGCGAGUACUUGACACUCGAUCUUAUCAUAUCUUCGAAAAAGCUUUGGUUAUUAUUUGCUACAAGCUGGGAAAUCAUGUUGGUUGACACUGGACAUGGCAAUAUAAAUAUAUGAAUAUAUUCUGUAAUUGUAUAUCGCACCGAUAGCAAUCUUAA